rnacentral:rRNA from 1 species
GACGGGUGAGUAACGCGUGAGCAAUCUGCCUUUGGAUGGGGGAUAACAGCCGGAAACGACUGCUAAUACCGCAUAAUGCAGCAGGAUCACAUGAUUUUGCUGCCAAAGAUUUAUCGUCCAAAGAUGAGCUCGCGUCUGAUUAGCCAGUUGGCGGGGUAACGGCCCACCAAAGCGACGAUCAGUAGCCGGACUGAGAGGUUGAACGGCCACAUUGGGACUGAGACACGGCCCAGACUCCUACGGGAGGCAGCAGUGGGGAAUAUUGCGCAAUGGGGGAAACCCUGACGCAGCAACGCCGCGUGAGUGAAGAAGGCCUUCGGGUUGUAAAGCUCUUUAAUCAGGGACGAAGAAUGACGGUACCUGAAGAAUAAGCUCCGGCUAACUACGUGCCAGCAGCCGCGGUAAUACGUAGGGAGCAAGCGUUAUCCGGAUUUACUGGGUGUAAAGGGCGUGUAGGCGGGCUUGCAAGUCAGAAGUGAAAUCUGGGG